AAUAAAUGUAUGUGAAGCAACUAAUGUCAACAUGGACAAAAUCAUGAAUGUACUAAUUCACUUUUUUGAUGAUGAUGUUUUCACAAUGAUUCAAUGUAGGAUUAUAUUAUGGAAAUAUGAAAAUCUACAUUGACUCUUAAUUUAAUAUAUGGUUGGAAGAAGUAAAAUGUGUCCGAAACUUUUUACUUCUUAAAAAUGAUGACUUUUAGUAUUGUGUUAUGUAAGAAGGACUUUAAGUGUUUUGCCAGUCAAAUUGACUUUAAUGAGUGCAUAUCGAAACAUUACACUGGAGGUUGGCUAAAAACUCAUCU